rnacentral:tRNA from 1 species
GGUAAAAUGGCUGAAAUUUAGGCGGUAAAUUGUAAAUUUAUUUAUGGAUAAAAUUCCUUUUACUA